AGCGCAGGUGGUUUAUUAAGUCUGGUGUAAAAGGCAGUGGCUCAACCAUUGUAUGCAUUGGAAACUGGUAGACUUGAGUGCAGGAGAGGAGAGCGGAAUUCCAUGUGUAGCGGUGAAAUGCGUAGAUAUAUGGAGGAACACCGGUGGCGAAAGCGGCUCUCUGGCCUGUAACUGACACUGAGGCUCGAAAGCGUGGGGAGCAAACA
rnacentral:rRNA from 1 species